UAUGUGAUCGUCUCUCGCAUAUCAAUAAGCGGAGGAAAAGAAACUAACAAGGAUUCCCCUAGUAACGGCGAGUGAAGCGGGAAGAGCUCAAAUUUGAAAUCUUAAAGGGUUUCCCUUUACGAAUUGUAGUUUAAAGAAGUGUUUUCUGUUGAGGUUUUGGUAAAAGUUCUUUGGAAUAGGACAUCAUAGAGGGUGAGAAUCCCGUAUUUGACCUUUACUUUCAACUUUGUGAUACACUUUCAAAGAGUCGGAUUGUUUGGGAAUGCAGUCCAAAAUGGGUGGUAAAUUUCAUCUAAAGCUAAAUAUUGGCGAGAGACCGAUAGCGAACAAGUACCGUGAGGGAAAGAUGAAAAGAACUUUGAAAAGAGAGUUAAACAGUACGUGAAAUUGUCAAAAGGGAAGCGUUUGACACCAGUGUUGUUUUUCUGAAAAUCAAUUAAAGAACUGUUUAUGCUAAGCUGUUUAGACUUUAUCAGCUAACUGUUUAGUUUUGAGCUUUUCUUUAAUGCACUUUUCAGUUAACAAGUCAACAUCAAUUUCUUUUGCUGUAAAGAAGCUUGAGGAAGGUGGCUUGAGAUUCGUCUUAAGUGUUUAUAGCCUCUUGCCUAUGCAGUCGGAGAGAUUGAGGUCUGCAGCGUAGAUCCUUCGGGGCUAAGUGCAUUUGUGCUAAGUUAUAGCAUUUUAUAGACAACUUGUUGACUAUGAUUUGUCUUGUAGCUUACUCGCUUAUGUUAUUUUACCUACGCUUAGGAUGUUGAGUCGUAGAGCACGCAG
rnacentral:rRNA from 1 species